rnacentral:rRNA from 1 species
GACACAGGUAGGCGAGGAGAGAAUCCUAAGGUGAUCGAGAGAACUCUCGUUAAGGAACUCGGCAAAAUGACCCCGUAACUUCGGGAGAAGGGGUGCUCUGUUAGGGUGCAAGCCCGAGAGAGCCGCAGUGAAUAGGCCCAGGCGACUGUUUAGCAAAAACACAGGUCUCUGCGAAGCCGUAAGGCGCAGUAUAGGGGCUGACGCCUGCCCGGUGCUGGAAGGUUAAGAGGAGCGCUUAGCGUAAGCGAAGGUGCGAAUUGAAGCCCCAGUAAACGGCGGCCGUAACUAUAACGGUCCUAAGGUAGCGAAAUUC